AUUGAACGCUGGCGGCAUGCCUUACACAUGCAAGUCGAACGGUAACAGGUUAAGCUGACGAGUGGCGAACGGGUGAGUAAUAUAUCGGAACGUGCCCAGUCGUGGGGGAUAACUGCUCGAAAGAGCAGCUAAUACCGCAUACGACCUGAGGGUGAAAGCGGGGGAUCGCAAGACCUCGCGCGAUUGGAGCGGCCGAUAUCAGAUUAGGUAGUUGGCGGGGUAAAGGCCCACCAAGCCAACGAUCUGUAGCUGGUCUGAGAGGACGACCAGCCACACUGGGACUGAGACACGGCACAGACUCCUACGGGAGGCAGCAGUGGGGAAUUUUGGACAAUGGGCGCAAGCCUGAUCCAGCCAUGCCGCGUGCGGGAAGAAGGCCUUCGGGUUGUAAACCGCUUUUGUCAGGGAAGAAAAGGUUCUGGUUAAUACCUGGGACUCAUGACGGUACCUGAAGAAUAAGCACCGGCUAACUACGUGCCAGCAGCCGCGGUAA
rnacentral:rRNA from 1 species